CCAUAUUCUUAUGUGGUAACAGAGCAGUAAGUUGGAGUCCACUAAAAUGUAGACUCCAAGAGGGCAAGGAGUUUUGUCUGAUCGGAAGAGCAUCACGU